rnacentral:rRNA from 1 species
UACGGGGGGGGCAAGCGUUGUUCGGAAUUACUGGGCGUAAAGGGCUUGUAGGUGGCCAACUAAGUCAGACGUGAAAUCCCUCGGCUUAACCGGGGAACUGCGUCUGAUACUGGAUGGCUUGAGUUUGGGAGAGGGAUGCGGAAUUCCUGGUGUAGCGGUGAAAUGCGCAGAUAUCAGGAAGAACACCAAUGGCGAAAGCAGCUCUCUGGGACGGUACUGACGCUGAGACGCGAAAGCGUGGGGAGCGAACAGG